CCUCCCCACCUUCUCGGGCGGCACGAUCGCGUCUUGUGGGCACCACCUCCUACCCUGGCCAUCGCCCUCACCUAUCUCCCGCGCCACCCAGCGGUCAUGUAUGGAUACGGCCGCCCCCGGCCCCCGGCGCGGCCUCAACCACCGGAUCCGGCUGCCACAACCAUCGGUGCAGACACAAACGACGGAUCCGGCCACUGCCGACCCCUAGCGCGUCAGCCCCCCACUGCCCCUUCCUCCCCGUCAUUCCAUCCUGAGGAGAGAACUCCGGGCACGGAUCCGGUCGCCAUGAGCUACAGUCCCGACCGGUUCGCCCUGCAGGCUGCUCCGUCGAGCCAGUGGUGGAUCCAAGCUCAUCUACGCCCAUACAGUCCAUUGGGUCGGUGCACGCAGCACGCCGGUGUCGCUCCCUGCAGUCUACUCCGUCGAGCCGGCGGCGGAAACAAGCUCAUUUGUGCAUGUGCAGGUCGUCAACGCCCUCAGUGUGGUUCGCCUGUGGAUGCCGAACGGAGCAGGCAUGCAGUGCAGACGACCUUCUCCUCCAUCAAGGAGGCCGCGACCGGUGACCCCCCAGAUGUGCCGACCCCACAGGUGGUCUGCCGGCCUCACCACUCGUUGCAAAAGACCCCUUCCCCUCCAUUUCCGCCACCGGACGACAAGCCGAUGACCUUCUGCUCUGCCUGGCAAGCUACCUCCCGUUCAAUGCCUCCCUCCUUGCAAUGCGUUCGCUCGCAUGCACGGUUCAGCAGGACCGGCUUUGCAGACUAGCCGUGGACGGCCUGUAUUACGCAACUGCGUGCAGUCCACUAUAGAUCAUCACGCGUGCGUAGUUCGCCCGAGUUGCAAAUUUUGAUUUGUUUGUGCGGGAUGGCCGAGUUGAAGUGUGUGAGUGGUCGUCUUGCAGUUCUCGUAGUUCUCUAGUCCUUGUAGUUCUCUAAUGCAAUACUGAAAAAACCAAGUGAAGAUUUCCUUUGUGGUGUGUGUUGUGUAAAAAGAAAAUUGGGGUUUAGUUGAGGCCACGGGCAUGGACCGCACCAUCGUACGGCUGCAUCCCUUGGCUGGAGUCUACGCUCUUCUCCUCGUCUCACAUGACACAUCAACGGUGAGAUCCAAAGUCCGUGGUGAUGGAUAGGUGCAGCUCAGCCACAAUUCCACGAUGAAGUGUCCACCGGCAGCGGCUUGCAGUUCUGGCCAAGGGUCGUGAAGUACACGCCAACGCUCGCCAUCUCUACUUCUUUUUUUUGCAGGAGCUCGCCAUCUCUACUUCGGUGCGCCAUGCAGUACGCUCGUCGCGGUCGUGCGCUUCGCUGGCGACUCUGGACCAGAGAUGCCACGUACAUGCGAGGUUCAGAUGGCCCUGGAGUGCAACUCGGAUGGGCUGCAUGCGAUGGCCUUGGUGUGCUUUUAUUUUUUUCCUGUUGUCCCUGGUUUUGUUGUUUUGAUUGGAGGAAAUUUGAUGCAUUUUGCACCCCUCUAAACGUGCAUUCUUUCAUGGACACAAUUGCAGUACAGUGCAUAGUACGAAGGAGUUCACUUUGUAAAAAAAUGUACAGAGGAGUUCACUUUUUAUUA